GCUUGCAUGUCGUGAUUCAUGGAUGAGAACCACUAUUGAACAAUGUAAAACUACAACCAAAUAAAAAUGGCAUAAUAAAUCCUCACCGGAAUGAUUGAAUAAAAUUCAUUUGGAAUUGGAUCUUGUUGAAUCCCUGUGCUCCAGACAAUUUCUGAUGCUUUCUAGGUGACAAAAUAUCAUUACCAGAAUGUCUAGGGGGUUCUUUAUUGUUUAAGGCCGAUGAAACAGAUCCAAAUUUUUCAACAAAGUCAGAAGGCCACCAUGAAACAUUAGAGGACCCUUGCUCUGACGGGCCUGCAUCUUCUUGUGUCUCGUCCAUGAUCUUUUAUGUUUGGAAAUUAAAACCAUCUUGCCACAGUUCUUAACCCAUAAGAGACAUAUCAAGCUAAAGAUAGUCCUUUAAUUGCAAAUCAUUGAAAUAUAAACUUCAGCAGCUUCAAUUGUACCAAGCUGCAGCCUGAAUGAGUCAUAACAAAAUAUGAAAAUGAGAAAUCAACAUUACCAAACAAAAAGAAAUAGAAUUUUCAAAAUCGCAUAACAAAUGAAAAGCAUGUACAAGUACAACUAAGAGGCAAUAAAAUCACCAUAUAAAAAUGAGGCUUGCAAUUUUGUUAGAAUUGCCUCAUCCCCAUCCAUAUAUCAUAUAUAAAUCUGUUAAGGUUGUAAAAUCGUUCAUUGAUCCAUUAGCCAUCACGUUCAAUUAUUUAUGAAAAAGUAAAAUUUCAAAAGUGGACAUUUAUUUCUUAAUGGAGGUCAUAUUUAUUAAUUAGGCCAUGCAUGAACUGAACUUUUCAAAUACAAUUUUUAUCAUAUAAAUGGACUAAUGGUUUGGUUUUGACCGAUCCAUUUUCACUAAUAAAAAAAUCCAUAUUUGGAGCUCAUAGGAUAUAAGUAAGCAAAGACAAUGUAAGUCAAAAUCAUCCACAUUUACAACAGAUGAUACUAAAUGUGUGGGGCAGGUAAUCUUCCAUUACUUUCUGAAAGAAAGAAACCACAUGAUAAGAGGUUGACUAUUGAGAAUUUCUAUAUAUCAUUUCCAACAGGGAUCCAUUUUCCAUUAAUGAAAAUUGUACAUGACGCAUCCUUGUACAUCAAUGAUGCAGAAUACUGAUUCAUGGUCUAGAAAUACAAGGAAAACAAAAACUAGGUUAAAUGACAGAAUUUAUCUUCAGUAUUGCAUAAGUGGACAAGGUUUAUACUGCAUAUCCAUGAAGUAAUCAAAUAACUUAAGCAUUCUUGUAAUGGACAAACAUCUUAUGUUCACAUCCUUGCCCAUAAUGCUCUGGGGAUUUACAUAAAUGCACAAGUUAAACUAUGAUGUGGUAAGAUAGAACUACACAGGUUACUGAUGUCAAAUUAUGCUAACAUCCAAGUCAUGUUAUUUAUUCAAUUGUAACUCCAAAUGCACCAUUGCACCAUCAUCUAUAAAUAUAUAUUAAUUUUUUGAACUUGAGUUUUACAAUUUAUCUAAACCUAUUACAAAUUAAUCAAUCAUUUUUAAGUACAAAUACAAUUAGCAUCAAUUUGUCUCUUCUAAACCUACAUUAAAACAGCAAAAAGCAAGUCCAAAAAAAGUAACAUAGAAUAACUUUAAAAAAAAAAAAAACUCACCUCUACACUGCAGAAGGCCAGAAGUAGAACAAAAGUCAGCAGUCAGGGACGGGUUGGGGCUGUUCCACCGUUGCAGAGGCAGGCCACCGGCGAGGAGAUGGUGGCCGCAUGAGCAGGGCUCCGGCACAAGCAGAGCAGACCCGGCAGAGGAGGGAGCCAACACGAGGGCAACAACGGAGGAAGAAGAGACAGAGGAGGCACGAAGCGGAGGCGGAUGCAGAGAAGGCGUGCCACAGCGGAGCCAACACGGCCGGGACGACACAGACGGAGGCGAGCAGGGGCGCGGACGACGAUCAACAACUGGCGGCACAGAGACGAGGCAGAGUUUCCGGCGAGAGGCGCGGAGACGAGGCGGUGACUGUGUGGUGAAGGUGAGUGAGGUAGAGAGGUGAGAGUGUGAGAGCCUGUGAGAGUGAGAGUGAGAGCGCGACUGAGAAGAGGAGGAGGGGAACGAAGGGAACGGAAAAGGAGGAUUGAAUCCUGGUAGAGGUUAAGGUUGGUGUAGAGUGAGAGAAUGGAGGAGUUGUCUGAGUGCCAAGAUCCUUUGGUCUUCACAAUGCGGGCAUGGAGUUUUUUGGCCUCGCGCACGCAACUCAUGCUUGCAUGUCGUGAUUCAUGGAUGAGAAUCACUAUUGAACAAUGUAAAACUACAACCAAAUAAAAAUGGCAUAAUAAAUCCUCACCGGAAUGAUUGAAUAAAAUUCAUUUGGAAUUGGAUCUUGUUGAAUCCCUGUGCUCCAGACAAUUUCUGAUGCUUUCUAGGUGACAAAAUAUCAUUACCAGAAUGUCUACGGGGUUCUUUAUUGUUUAAGGCCGAUGAAACAGAUCCAAAUUUUUCAACAAAGUCAGAAGGCCACCAUCAAACAUUAGAGGACCCUUGGUCUGAUGGGUCUGCAUCUUCUUGUGUUUCGUCCAUGAUCUUAUAUGUUUGGAAAUUAAAUCCAUCUUGCCACAGUUCUUAACCCAUAAGAGACAUAUCAAGCUAAAGAUAGUCCUUUAAUUGCAAAUCAUUGAAAUAUAAACUUCAGCAGCUUCAAUUGUACCAAGCUGCAGCC
rnacentral:lncRNA from 1 species